rnacentral:antisense_RNA from 1 species
AAUAACCAAAUAUAACACCGGGGCUAAGGGUCAAGUUGGUUAUUUUUCUUACAUCCCCCCCCGCCCCCGGGGGCCCAGGUAUCAUAUACACCGCCAAAAUAAAGAGCCUUGAGUACUAGAAGAAAAGCACCUAGACCUAACAAAAUUAAAUGAAUACCCAAAAUUGUAGUCAUUUUAUUUCUAUCUUUCCA